rnacentral:tRNA from 1 species
GGGCCGCUAGCUCAGUUGGUAGAGCAGCUGACUCUUAAUCAGCGGGUCGUAGGUUCGAGUCCUACGCGGCCCA